rnacentral:rRNA from 1 species
AUUUCUAACCUUAACAUGAAUACUAAGAUAUUAAAAGUUAUACUCUCUAAAACUAAAGGAUUUGGCGGCAAUCUAGUCAAGUUAGAGGAACCUGUAAAAUAAACGAUAAUCCACGUAAAAUCUUACCUAUUUUUAAAAUUUGUAUACCGUCAUUAUUAGAUUACUUCAAGAGAAACAGUUAUCUAAAUAGGUUUAAACUAAAAUAUUAGAUCAAGGUGCAGUCUAUAAAUAGGUUUCUAUGGGUUACAAUAAAAUUUAUUUACUACGAAUUCUAAAUUGAAAUACUUUCUUGAAGGAGGAUUUAAUAGUAAAAUUGGUUUAAUAAGCCAAAUUGAUAAUAGAUCUAGAUUGAGUACAUAUCGCCCGUCACUUUCAUUUUCAGAUGAAAUAAGUCGUAACAUAG